UGCUAGAAGCUUCGGCUAGGGAUGGAAGA
rnacentral:piRNA from 1 species